ACCCGUCGGGAGAGCCUCGGGCCGGGGGGGCGGAGGCCCCUCGGUCUCCCUGUCGGUCCCCCGGCUCUCUCUGGGCUUCCGGGGGCACGGGAAAGAGACUUCCGACGCCUGAGCUGGAGUGCUGGAGCAGGAUGCCCAGAGCCUUCUCGUAAUGCUCCAUGGCCAGCGGCAACUCCUCCUUCCGCUUGGCCAAGAAGCCCAGCAGCCGCCAGCCCUGCCAGGAGGCCGGCUUCUGCUCUCCCUGGGGCCGAAACUCUGGGGCUUGGAAUCAUUUUCGAUUCCACCCGUUUCCAUCUUCCGCCUUCCAGAUAAUGGUGGAUGGCGACGUCCUCCUGGCCCCGGAAAAUCUCCUGGAAGCCCCGGGCGCGGGGGCGUUUCUCCGCCCGAGUCCCGGGAGGCGCCUUCUGGGGGCGCGGCCUUGUCCGCUGGCCGGCGGGGGACGGAAGCCAGGCGGGUCAUUUGGGGGCAACCGCUCUGCCCCCGGCCCCCAGGACUCCAGGGCCCGCUUCCUCAGCUCCUGCACCUUCUCGCGGGUCCCCGCGUCCCGGGGCUGCUGCAGGAGCUGGUGGCCAAGUGCGGAGAGCAGCCCGUCUGGUGGAGCACUGCUGGGGGCCCGCCCCGCCCUCCCGAGGCCCAGGGCCUCCCCGCCCGCGUUCGGUGGGAAUUGGCGGGCCGCGGGCCGUAACGCGGGGCCCCAAACUUCCUCCACGAGUUUCGCCCCCCCUCCUCUCUUUUCUGGUUUCAGGGCCAGGACCCCGGGAGCGUUGCCGGGAUCCCGCGCCAGGGCCUGCCUCAGGGCUGGGGGCGGAACCCAGGGCCCGGCGGGCCUCCCCGGACAAGGCGGGAGGCCCGGCCACCUGCAGCCAGGCCGCCCGGCCCCCCCGGCCCCCUCGGCAGGCCUUGGCGGCGCCCGCGUCCCCCGCCCCUGCAGCCUGGCCCAGCCCUCCUCGCAGUCCAUCUCCGGACAGUCGAUUCUGUAGGGGCUGCCCAGCCUCCGCCGCGCCCACCUUGUCCAUGGCCGGGGACCCCCCGGCCCAGCGGGGUAGAGCCAGGCGUGCUGCCCCCGGGAAGGUUCGGGCGUGGCCCGGCCCGGGUCUCCCGCUCGUCGCCCUCCGGCCGCCGGGGGCCCAGGGCCUCCUCCGGCGCCUGCGGUGCCCGGUGGCCCGGGGUUGUGGGCGGCGCCCGCUCUGCGGCCGGGGCCCAGCCCGUUCCUGACCUGCUCCUCCAGGUUCUCG
rnacentral:lncRNA from 1 species